AGCGAACGCUGGCGGCAGGCUUAACACAUGCAAGUCGAGCGGGCCCUUCGGGGUCAGCGGCUGACGGGUGAGUAACACGUGGGAACGUACCCUUUGGUUCGGAAUAACGCUGGGAAACUAGCGCUAAUACCGGAUACGCCCUGUUGGGGAAAGGCUUGCUGCCGAAGGAUCGGCCCGCGUCUGAUUAGCUAGUUGGUGGGGUAAUGGCCUACCAAGGCGACGAUCAGUAGCUGGUCUGAGAGGAUGAUCAGCCACACUGGGACUGAGACACGGCCGAGACUCCUACGGGAGGCAGCAGUGGGUAAUAUUGGACAAUGGGCGCAAGCCUGAUCCAGCCAUGCCGCGUGAGUGAUGAAGGCCUUAGGGUUGUAAAGCUCUUUUGUCCGGGACGAUAAUGACGGUACCGGAAGAAUAAGCCCCGGCUAACUUCGUG
rnacentral:rRNA from 1 species